CCGGCUGAUGAGACUAAGGCGAAUGCGACUCUGUGCUCUGGUCCUUGGCUCCCGGGGGGGGGGGGGGGGUUUCAAAUGGCAUCUGAAAUCUUAGUGGGGGUACCUGAGACCUGGCUCCUCACUGUAAGGCAGAUCAAUAGCACUGCUGGCCUUGCCUCCAUUUCUGCUGCUGCCCCCAGUUCCUGGCAGCUGCCUGCAGGGGGGCCUACAGGUGGGGACCAAAGUAGGACUAAGCACGAAUCCUCUGAGCGCAACCUUGGAUCUGACA